rnacentral:rRNA from 1 species
ACACAUGCAAGUCGAACGGCAGCACGGGACUUCGGUCUGGUGGCGAGUGGCGAACGGGUGAGUAAUGCAUCGGAACGUGCCCAGAGGUGGGGGAUAACGCAGCGAAAGCUGUGCUAAUACCGCAUAUUAUCUGAGGAUGAAAGCGGGGGACUAAGCAGCAAUGUUUGGCCUCGCGCCUUUGGAGCGGCCGAUGUCAGAUUAGGUAGUUGGUGGGGUAAAGGCCUACCAAGCCAACGAUCUGUAGCUGGUCUGAGAGGACGACCAGCCACACUGGAACUGAGACACGGUCCAGACUCCUACGGGAGGCAGCAGUGGGGAAUUUUGGACAAUGGACGCAAGUCUGAUCCAGCCAUUCCGCGUGCAGGAUGAAGGCCCUCGGGUUGUAAACUGCUUUUGUACGGAACGAAAAGGUUUCUAUUAAUACUAGGGGCUCAUGACGGUACUGUAAGAAUAAGCACCGGCUAACUACGUG